CGGGUGAGUAACACGUGGAUAACCUACCUAUAAGACUGGGAUAACUUCGGGAAACCGGAGCUAAUACCGGAUAAUAUAUUGAACCGCAUGGUUCAAUAGUGAAAGACGGUUUUGCUGUCACUUAUAGAUGGAUCCGCGCCGCAUUAGCUAGUUGAUAAGGUAACGGCUUACCAAGGCAACGAUGCGUAGCCGACCUGAGAGGGUGAUCGGCCACACUGGAACUGAGACACGGUCCAGACUCCUACGGGAGGCAGCAGCC
rnacentral:rRNA from 1 species